rnacentral:lncRNA from 1 species
UCAUUUAAUUUGAUCUUGAAUCUUAAAUCUUAUAUAAAAGUGCGAUUGAAAAAUCGCAUUUCAUAUGGAGUAGCCCUUGAGCCUUAGGUUGAAUCGAAGAAUUAGGCUAAGGGUCAAACUUGUAAUUUCACAUCUUUUCCCCCUUAAAACCCAAAGAACAAACUUUUUGUCCAACGGACACAUGACACGCAGCCCCCGAGCCAUUACAUGACUAGUUUGGGUAUAACGGUCAACCGCUAGUCCAUGUGACUGUUUGUCCUCAGAAAUCUU